UACAGAGGUCCCGAGCGUUGUUCGGAUUCAUUGGGCGUAAAGGGUGCGUAGGCGGCGGAGCAAGUCUGAUGUGAAAUCCCGGGGCUCAACCCCGGAACUGCAUUGGAUACUGCUUUGCUAGAGUACUGGAGAGGGAACUGGAAUUUACGGUGUAGCAGUGAAAUGCGUAGAGAUCGUAAGGAACACCAGUGGCGAAGGCGAGUCCCUGGACGAUACCUGACACUGAGGCACGAAAGCCAAGGGAGCAAACAGG
rnacentral:rRNA from 1 species